AGAGUUUGAUCAUGGCUCAGAACGAACGCUGGCGGCGUGCCUAACACAUGCAAGUCGGACGGAGCCAUUUUGAAGUAGCGAUACGGAGAGAUGGGUUAGUGGCGGACGGGUGAGUAACACGUAGGUAACCUACCCUUGGGCGGGGGAUAAUUCCGCGAAAAGCGGGACUAAUACCCCAUAAGACCACGUAUUGAAAUAUAUGUGGUAAAAAGUAGCAAUACACCGAUGGAGGGGCCUGCGGCCUAUCAGGUAGUUGGAGGGGUAACGGCCCACCAAGCCGGAGACGGGUAGCCGGGCUGAGAGGUUGGACGGCCACACUGGAACUGAGAUACGGUCCAGACUCCUACGGGAGGCAGCAGUGGGGAAUAUUGCACAAUGGGCGGAAGCCUGAUGCAGCGACGCCGCGUGGAGGAUGAAGGCCUUCGGGUUGUAAACUCCUUUUCUUGGGAAAGAUGAUGACGGUACCCAAGGAAUAAGCCACGGCUAACUCUGUGCCAGCAGCCGCGGUAAGACAGAGGUGGCGAGCGUUGUUCGGAAUUACUGGGCUUAAAGGGCGAGUAGGCGGUGGGGCAAGUCUGAGGUGGAAUCUUAGGGCUUAACCCUAAAAUUGCCUUAGAAACUGCUUUACUUGAGUCAGUGAGGGGAGGGCGGAAUUCCUGGUGUAGCGGUGAAAUGCGUAGAUAUCAGGAGGAAGGCCUGUGGCGAAGGCGGCCCUCUGGCACUGUACUGACGCUGAGGCGCGAAAGCGUGGGGAGCAAACAGGAUUAGAUACCCUAGUAGUCC
rnacentral:rRNA from 1 species